UGUGUGUGUGUGUGUGUCAUGAGUAGAUCUGGAUUUGCUCCUGAGGGCUUGACGCGGCGUCCUGAUGGCGUCCCGGUGACGUGGCGUUCUGAUGGCGUCCUGUUGGUCUGCAGACAAGGAGAAGAGACGUGAGGAGGAUCAUCAGGAUGUGUCUGUGUGUACAUCUAAUUGUUAGUGUGUCUGUCUGUAGAUCUAAAUGUUAGUGUUUGUCUUUGUUUAGAACCAAAUGUUAGUGUGUCUGUGUGUACAUCUAAUUCUUAGUGUGUCUGUGUGUACAUCUAAAAUGUUAGUGUGUCUGUGUAUAUAUCUAAAUAUUAAUGUGUCUUUGUGUACAUCUAAAUGUUAGUGUGUGUCUUUGUUUAGAACCAAAUGUUAGUGUGUCUGUGAGUACAUCUGUGUGUGUGUGUGUGUGUCAUGAGUAGAUCUGGAUUUGCUCCUGAGGGGUUGACGCGGCGUCCUGAUGGCGUCCUGAUGGCGUCCUGAUGGCGUCCUGAUGGCGUCCCGAUGACGUGGUGUCCUGAUGGCGUCCCGGUGACGUGGCGUCCUGAUGACGUCCUGUUGGUCUGCAGACAAGGAGAAGAGACGUGAGGAGGAUCAUCAGGAUGUGUCUGGGUGUACAUCUAAUUGUUAGUGUGUCUGUGUGUAGAUCUAAUUGUUAGUGUGUCUGUGUGUAGAUCUAAUUGUUAUUGUGUCUUUGUGUACAUCUAAAUAUUAAUGUGUCUUUGUGUACAUCUAAAUGUUAGUGUGUGUCUUUGUUUAGAACCAAAUGUUAGUGUGUCUGUGUGUACAUCUAAUUGUUAGUGUGUCUGUGUGUACAUCUAAUUGUUAUUGUGUCUUUGUGUACAUCUAAUUGUUAUUGUGUCUUAGUGUACAUCUAAAUAUUAGUGCGUGUCUUUGUUUAGAACCAAAUGAUAGUGUGUCUGUGUGUACAUCUAAAUGUUAGUGUGUGUGUGUUCAUCUAAAUGUUAGUGUGUCUUUGUGUACAUCUAAAUAUUAGUGUGUGUCUUUGUUUAGAACCAAAUGUUAGUGUGUCUGUGUGUACAUCUAAUUGUUAGUGUGUCUGUGUGUACAUCUAAAUAAUAAUGUGUCUUUGUGUACAUCUAAAUGUUAUGUGUGUCUUUGUUUAGAACCAAAUGUUAGUGUGUCUGUGAGUACAUCUGUGUGUGUGUGUGUGUGUCAUGAGUAGAUCUGGAUUUGCUCCUGAGGGGUUGACGCGGCGUCCUGAUGGCGUCCUGAUGGCGUCCUGAUGGCGUCCUGAUGGCGUCCCGAUGACGUGGUGUCCUGAUGGCGUCCCGGUGACGUGGCGUCCUGAUGACGUCCUGUUGGUCUGCAGACAAGGAGAAGAGACAUCUGGAUUUGCUCCUGAGGGGUUGAUGCGGCGUCCUGAUGGCGUCCCGAUGACGUGGUGUCCUGAUGCCGUCCCGAUGACGUGGCGUCCUGAUGCCGUCCUGAUGGCGUCCCGUUGGUCUGCAGACAAGGAGAAGAGACGUGAGGAGGAUCAUCAGGAUGUGAGACAAGAUUCAUAGAUCCAAUUAUUUUAAUUUGAUGCACAUUUUAAUUAUUUCAUGUUUGUUUGGCUGUGUAAAUCUACAUUAUAUAUUUGUGGUUGUUAAACUGUAUUUCUGUAUUUGCUUUUUAUGUUUAGCUAGUCUCUGUGCAUACCGAUAUGUUAGUGCGUCUCUGUGUAAGUACUUUUUACAUUACAUUACAUUUCAUUUAGCUGACGCUUUUAUCCAAAGCGACUUACAAUAAGUGCAUUCAACCAUAGGGUACAAACUCAGAAGUGCAAUUUCCUCAAAUAACUUUUAUAUGUUAGUGCGUCUUUGUGUAAGUACUUCUAUAUGUUAAUGCGUCUCUGUGUACAUCUACAUGACAACAGCAGGAAUCAGAGGUUUAUCUUAGCUCUAAAUCACAGCCUUCUCCACCCGAUAGACCAAUACAUCAUUCACAGCAGUAAGGCUGCAGUCUGUCUGGAUUUCUCACUUACCUUGAGCUCUGUUAAGUGCAGCAGAAUGCGUCUUCGUCCCCUCUACAGACUCCUGAGGCAUUACAUGGUUGCUUUCUGCAAGUGUAGGUCCGGAAAACUUCAGUGUGUAGAUGCGAGGUUUGAAACUGACUGACUGACUGGAUGUGCAACAAACUGUGUUCUUAUGCUGUGGUGAACGGAGCAUAGAACAUGG
ensembl:lncRNA